GGGUUGUGAGGUUAAGCGACUAAGCGUACACGGUGGAUGCCCUGGCAGUCAGAGGCGAUGAAGGACGUGCUAAUCUGCGAAAAGCGUCGGUAAGGUGAUAUGAACCGUUAUAGCCGGCGAUGUCCGAAUGGGGAAACCCAGUGCAAUUCGUUGCACUAUCGUUAACUGAAUACAUAGGUUAACGAGGCGAACCGGGGGAACUGAAACAUCUAAGUACCCCGAGGAAAAGAAAUCAACCGAGAUUCCCCCAGUAGCGGCGAGCGAACGGGGAGCAGCCCAGAGUCUGAAUCAGCUUGUGUGUUAGUGGAACGGUCUGGAAAGUCCGACGGUACAGGGUGAUAGUCCCGUACACCAAAAUGCACAGGCUGUGAACUCGAAGAGUAGGGCGGGACACGUGGUAUCCUGUCUGAAUAUGGGGGGACCAUCCUCCAAGGCUAAAUACUCCUGACUGACCGAUAGUGAACCAGUACCGUGAGGGAAAGGCGAAAAGAACCCCGGCGAGGGGAGUGAAAAAGAACCUGAAACCGUGUACGUACAAGCAGUGGGAGCACCUUCGGGUGUGACUGCGUACCUUUUGUAUAAUGGGUCAGCGACUUAUAUUCUGUAGCAAGGUUAACCGUAUAGGGGAGCCGCAGGGAAACCGAGUCUUAACUGGGCGUUAAGUUGCAGGGUAUAGACCCGAAACCCGGUGAUCUAGCCAUGGGCAGGUUGAAGGUUGGGUAACACUAACUGGAGGACCGAACCGACUAAUGUUGAAAAAUUAGCGGAUGACUUGUGGCUGGGGGUGAAAGGCCAAUCAAACCGGGAGAUAGCUGGUUCUCCCCGAAAGCUAUUUAGGUAGCGCCUCGUGAACUCAUCUUCGGGGGUAGAGCACUGUUUCGGCUAGGGGGUCAUCCCGACUUACCAACCCGAUGCAAACUACGAAUACCGAAGAAUGUUAUCACGGGAGACACACGGCGGGUGCUAACGUCCGUCGUGAAGAGGGAAACAACCCAGACCGCCAGCUAAGGUCCCAAAGUCAUGGUUAAGUGGGAAACGAUGUGGGAAGGCACAGACAGCCAGGAUGUUGGCUUAGAAGCAGCCAUCAUUUAAAGAAAGCGUAAUAGCUCACUGGUCGAGUCGGCCUGCGCGGAAGAUGUAACGGGGCUAAACCAUGCACCGAAGCUGCGGCAGCGACACUAUGUGUUGUUGGGUAGGGGAGCGUUCUGUAAGCCUGCGAAGGUGUGCUGUGAGGCAUGCUGGAGGUAUCAGAAGUGCGAAUGCUGACAUAAGUAACGAUAAAGCGGGUGAAAAGCCCGCUCGCCGGAAGACCAAGGGUUCCUGUCCAACGUUAAUCGGGGCAGGGUGAGUCGACCCCUAAGGCGAGGCCGAAAGGCGUAGUCGAUGGGAAACAGGUUAAUAUUCCUGUACUUGGUGUUACUGCGAAGGGGGGACGGAGAAGGCUAUGUUAGCCGGGCGACGGUUGUCCCGGUUUAAGCAUGUAGGCUGAUUGUCCAGGCAAAUCCGGAUAAUCAAGGCUGAGGUGUGAUGACGAGGCACUACGGUGCUGAAGUAACAAAUGCCCUGCUUCCAGGAAAAGCCUCUAAGCAUCAGGUAACAUUAAAUCGUACCCCAAACCGACACAGGUGGUCAGGUAGAGAAUACCAAGGCGCUUGAGAGAACUCGGGUGAAGGAACUAGGCAAAAUGGUGCCGUAACUUCGGGAGAAGGCACGCUGGUGUGUAGGUGAAGUCCCUGCGGAUGGAGCUGAGACCAGUCGAAGAUACCAGCUGGCUGCAACUGUUUAUUAAAAACACAGCACUGUGCAAACACGAAAGUGGACGUAUACGGUGUGACGCCUGCCCGGUGCCGGAAGGUUAAUUGAUGGGGUUAUCCGUAAGGAGAAGCUCUUGAUCGAAGCCCCGGUAAACGGCGGCCGUAACUAUAACGGUCCUAAGGUAGCGAAAUUCCUUGUCGGGUAAGUUCCGACCUGCACGAAUGGCGUAAUGAUGGCCAGGCUGUCUCCACCCGAGACUCAGUGAAAUUGAACUCGCUGUGAAGAUGCAGUGUACCCGCGGCAAGACGGAAAGACCCCGUGAACCUUUACUAUAGCUUGACACUGAACAUUGAGCCUUGAUGUGUAGGAUAGGUGGGAGGCUUUGAAGCGUGGACGCCAGUCUGCGUGGAGCCAACCUUGAAAUACCACCCUUUAAUGUUUGAUGUUCUAACGUUGGCCCCUUACCGGGGUUGCGGACAGUGUCUGGUGGGUAGUUUGACUGGGGCGGUCUCCUCCCAAAGCGUAACGGAGGAGCACGAAGGUUAGCUAAUCCUGGUCGGACAUCAGGAGGUUAGUGCAAUGGCAUAAGCUAGCUUGACUGCGAGCGUGACGGCGCGAGCAGGUGCGAAAGCAGGUCAUAGUGAUCCGGUGGUUCUGAAUGGAAGGGCCAUCGCUCAACGGAUAAAAGGUACUCCGGGGAUAACAGGCUGAUACCGCCCAAGAGUUCAUAUCGACGGCGGUGUUUGGCACCUCGAUGUCGGCUCAUCACAUCCUGGGGCUGAAGUAGGUCCCAAGGGUAUGGCUGUUCGCCAUUUAAAGUGGUACGCGAGCUGGGUUUAGAACGUCGUGAGACAGUUCGGUCCCUAUCUGCCGUGGGCGCUGGAGAAUUGAGGGGGGCUGCUCCUAGUACGAGAGGACCGGAGUGGACGCAUCACUGGUGUUCGGGUUGUCAUGCCAAUGGCACUGCCCGGUAGCUAAAUGCGGAAGAGAUAAGUGCUGAAAGCAUCUAAGCACGAAACUUGCCCCGAGAUGAGUUCUCCCUGAGACUUUAAGUCUCCUGAAGGAACGUU
rnacentral:rRNA from 1 species